UAGUUACUGCAUUGGGCGCAUGGACAAGAUAUGAACCCGUUCUCUGGCUUGUUCGCUUUGGCCACUUCAAGAAAAUUAUUCAUGCCAGCAAUAAACACCUUGCUCCGCCUAUCCGCGUUAUACAUCCAUUGCCGAUCCAUCUGCAUCGUAUUAUGCAAGCCAUCAAUAAAAUGGAUUACAAUAAAACUAUCCAUCACAUUGCUAAAAUUUUAGAUAGAAAUACACAAAUUAAAAUUUCAGAAGCAAACAACAUCAUAUAGUACGACAAACUCAAAUAUUGCUGAAAGUUUACAUAGAAAUACAUAAAUUAUUUAGCUCAUAUUUAAUUUACAAAUAACUAAACUAUUAAAAAAUUCAAUAUUUUCCACAUAAUGUACUUAUUCUAAAAAUGGCUAAUUGCAUACCUCUAUCUGAAAAGUACUAAAGUAUGAAAUUACACCUACAAUUUAUAUGGCUAAUUUAUAAGUAUUAAAAACAAAUUUACUCUAAUUUUUCCCUAAUACAUAAAAUUGAAAUAAUCUGAAUUCUACCUCACAUUUACUGUCCAUUCUCCCUCACAUUCAAACUAUCCAUCACAUUGUAGCUCAAAAACAUGUCUAAAUACAAAUCCUCUACAUGCUUAACAACUAACAAACUCAGUUUUCUCC
rnacentral:lncRNA from 1 species